rnacentral:misc_RNA from 1 species
AAGUCGUAACAAGGUUUCCGUAGGUGAACCUGCGGAAGGAUCAUUACCAAGAGGGGGUCUUUUAGGCCCAACCUUCAACCCCAUGCUUAAUUACCUUAUUUCUUUGGCGGGUAUCCGCCAGAAGCCUUCUCAUACUCUUGUAAUUUGAUAUCUGAGCACAACCAAAAUACACUAAAACUUUCAACAACGGAUCUCUUGGUUCUG